GGUGCCUUAGUGAAGAGGUUAUCAUGCUCUAUUUGGGACAAAUCACUUAUUUCUCAGAACUUGGAGAGGUCAUGGGUUCGAAUCCCAUAGGUGCCC